UGGCCCCUACGGGAGGCAGCAGUGGGGAAUAUUGCACAAUGGGGGAAACCCUGAUGCAGCGACGCCGCGUGAGCGAUGAAGUAUUUCGGUAUGUAAAGCUCUAUCAGCAGGGAAGAAAAUGACGGUACCUGACUAAGAAGCCCCGGCUAAUUACGUGCCAGCAGCCGCGGUAAUACGUAGGGGGCAAGCGUUAUCCGGAUUUACUGGGUGUAAAGGGAGCGUAGACGGUCCUGCAAGCCAGAUGUGAAAGCCCGGGGCUCAACCCCGGGACUGCAUUUGGAACUGUACGGCUAGAGCGUCGGAGG
rnacentral:rRNA from 1 species